AGUCUGUUGAGUUGAUCUGAAGGGAGAAGGAGACAUUUAAAAGCAAGGGUUCUUGUUUUGUUUGUUUUUGAGAUGGCUUUUAUUAUGUAGACCAGGCUGGCCUGGCACUCAGAUGCCCCUCCCAAGUGCUGGGAUUAAGGGCAUGUGCCACCACACCAUGCUUGUCUUCUUUUUAAUUCUGUGGGUUUUCCCCACUUGAAUGCUGUUAAUUGAUGUUCUUUUUCCUUUAUCUUAUACCAUCUCAUCUCUCGAUUUACAAAUAGAGUUUACUCUGUAAUAGAUUUUUCCCUUUUCUGUUAUACUUGUUUGGCAGAUUGACACCUCUGCCUUUACAUCUAUCCUUGAAGUAACAGAGAGGGACAGGUUUCAGGUCAGCAUCUGCUCCUAGAAGUAGAACUUUAGUUUGAGGUUUGGUUGGAAGAAGAUUGUGAAUUUGCAAAUAAAUGAAUUAUAAGGUGACCAAACAUUCCUGAGAUCUAAAGAAAAACAAAAAAGGUCUAUGUCCAAAAAGAAAACUGCCUGGGCCAAAGGGCUAAUUUUUAAGCAUAUGAGCUUUAUUGCAGUCUUAACAUAUAUUAACCGUAGAUCCACCUAGCUGUUUUAUUUAACUCUUAAUUCCCAGGGGCUUGGUUUUAAAAGUGGGUCUACUCUUAGUAGAGUGGGCAUGAUUACAUUGACAAGCCACACUCCAUAAUUAGGUUAUUCUGUAGAAACUGUACAGCGGUAGAGUAGUUUCAAUGCAAAUACAGUUUUUUUCCAGUGCUGGGGAUCAAACCCAGGGCCUCAUGCAUGCUGAGCAAGUGCUGUGUCGCUGGCUUAUUUCCCCAGCUCCUAAUUUAAAACUUUAAUUAAAAAAAUUUUGUUCCAUUGCAGUAAAAGUGGGUGGCAUGUAUUUUUUGGCUAAGGGUGCUGUUCCCUGGUUCCUGGCCCAUCUUAGUUAUACUUGACCCUCAAGCAGUUUCCUCCCUGCAGUGAUUAUUGCUUCUGACACGGUAAGUCUGUUACUUAUCACUGGUUUAUGGGCAGUUGUGUUUAAAAAACUAGUAGUUUUGCUUUCUUUGGUUAAAUAUGGUAUGAAUGUCAAUUUUUUUUCCUAUACCAGAUCCUUCAUUUUGUUUACAGUGUUUCUUACUUAGACCUAGGACCAUAACCAAAUCUGCCUCUCUAUAGAUACUGUUGCUAAUUGGAGUGUAUCUGGCAACAGAGAAAGGCUGCUUUUUAUUUUUAUUUUUUAAUGUUUUGAUUAAAGAAACAGUUAGCUUUUCCUAGGAGAAGGUCUAAACACAGUGGCCCCAUGGAGAGCUUUCUCUGUCUGGGAUUGAACUGAGAUCCUGAGGUUUUCUUUUAGGAAACUAAAGUAAACUUGCCAUUACUAAAUUUGUAAAGUUGAGAUUCACUCCUUAAUGCUGGUGUGGGGGGUGUCAAACUGGACCAAUGGAAAUGCUGGAUUUGCUAAAUAAAGCCAAGAUGCAUAGCCCUGCACUUUAAGGUUUCUGGUUGCUCUGCCUUCAUUAGUGACCCUGCAGAGUGGCUCUGAACAGUACUUUGUUUAUACAGUCCUGUUGGAGAUAUAUAAUUUAUGUUUUUUAAACAGUGCAUCUUUGUCUCUGUUGAUGUAAAUUUUUUAAUGCAAUUUUUUAAAGUUACAACAAAAUUCUCCCCCAAAAACAGCAUUUCCAGUGAUGAUAAGUAUUGUUGUGGACUGUGUCCCUGAACCUGAGCACUUACUGCUUUGUCACAGGGAAUAGAACUUCCUAUGUUCAAAUAAAGUCUGUUGUUCUUG
rnacentral:lncRNA from 1 species